UGUUUUAGUCUAGUUGGAGGAACCUGUUUUAUAAACGAUAAACCACGUAAAAUCUUUCUUGUCUUUUUAGAGGUUAGUAUACCUUCAUUGUUAGAUAAUUCUUUUGGAUAAGAAUUGUUGAAAUAGAGUAACUCUAGUAUAUUAGAUCACGGUGCUGCUAAUAGACAAGUAAAAAUGGGUUACAAUAAAAUUUAAUUUAUUACGGACUAGGAUAAGAAAUGUUAUCAAAAGAAGGAGGAUUCAAUUGUAAUUAAAGUUUUAAUAAGAUUAAGUGAUAUAAGCUCUAAAAUGUGUACAUAU
rnacentral:rRNA from 1 species